rnacentral:rRNA from 1 species
GAUCCUGGCUCAGGACGAACGCUGGCGGCGUGCCUAACACAUGCAAGUCGAGCGGAGACAGUGAGUAGCUUGCUAUGAGCUGUUUUAGCGGCGGACGGGUGAGUAACGCGUGAGCAACCUUUCCCAGACAGGGGAAUAACACACCGAAAGGUGUACUAAUACCACAUAAGACCACGGGAUCANAUGGUUCUGAGGUAAAAGAUUUAUCGGUUUGGGGUGGGCUCGCGUCCGAUUAGGUAGUUGGUGAGGUAACGG